CCCCUUGUCGCGUCGGGGUGAUGGCGCGGCACCUCCCUGUUGGACUGGCCCGGGCUUCGGCCCGGGUCUUUUU
rnacentral:ncRNA from 1 species